CGGGACACGUGGUAUCCUGUCUGAAUAUGGGGGGACCAUCCUCCAAGGCUAAAUACUCCUGACUGACCGAUAGUGAACCAGUACCGUGAGGGAAAGGCGAAAAGAACCCCGGCGAGGGGAGUGAAAAAGAACCUGAAACCGUGUACGUACAAGCAGUGGGAGCCUCUUUAUGGGGUGACUGCGUACCUUUUGUAUAAUGGGUCAGCGACUUAUAUUCUGUAGCAAGGUUAACCGAAUAGGGGAGCCGAAGGGAAACCGAGUCUUAACUGGGCGUUAAGUUGCAGGGUAUAGACCCGAAACCCGGUGAUCUAGCCAUGGGCAGGUUGAAGGUUGGGUAACACUAACUGGAGGACCGAACCGACUAAUGUUGAAAAAUUAGCGGAUGACUUGUGGCUGGGGGUGAAAGGCCAAUCAAACCGGGAGAUAGCUGGUUCUCCCCGAAAGCUAUUUAGGUAGCGCCUCGUGAAUUCAUCUCCGGGGGUAGAGCACUGUUUCGGCAAGGGGGUCAUCCCGACUUACCAACCCGAUGCAAACUGCGAAUACCGGAGAAUGUUAUCACGGGAGACACACGGCGGGUGCUAACGUCCGUCGUGAAGAGGGAAACAACCCAGACCGCCAGCUAAGGUCCCAAAGUCAUGGUUAAGUGGGAAACGAUGUGGGAAGGCCCAGACAGCCAGGAUGUUGGCUUAGAAGCAGCCAUCAUUUAAAGAAAGCGUAAUAGCUCACUGGUCGAGUCGGCCUGCGCGGAAGAUGUAACGGGGCUAAACCAUGCACCGAAGCUGCGGCAGCGACACUAUGUGUUGUUGGGUAGGGGAGCGUUCUGUAAGCCUGCGAAGGUGUACUGUGAGGUAUGCUGGAGGUAUCAGAAGUGCGAAUGCUGACAUAAGUAACGAUAAAGCGGGUGAAAAGCCCGCUCGCCGGAAGACCAAGGGUUCCUGUCCAACGUUAAUCGGGGCAGGGUGAGUCGACCCCUAAGGCGAGGCCGAAAGGCGUAGUCGAUGGGAAACAGGUUAAUAUUCCUGUACUUGGUGUUACUGCGAAGGGGGGACGGAGAAGGCUAUGUUGGCCGGGCGACGGUUGUCCCGGUUUAAGCGUGUAGGCUGGUUUUCCAGGCAAAUCCGGAAAAUCAAGGCUGAGGCGUGAUGACGAGGCACUACGGUGCUGAAGCAACAAAUGCCCUGCUUCCAGGAAAAGCCUCUAAGCAUCAGGUAACAUCAAAUCGUACCCCAAACCGACACAGGUGGUCAGGUAGAGAAUACCAAGGCGCUUGAGAGAACUCGGGUGAAGGAACUAGGCAAAAUGGUGCCGUAACUUCGGGAGAAGGCACGCUGAUAUGUAGGUGAAGUCCCUCGCGGAUGGAGCUGAAAUCAGUCGAAGAUACCAGCUGGCUGCAACUGUUUAUUAAAAACACAGCACUGUGCAAACACGAAAGUGGACGUAUACGGUGUGACGCCUGCCCGGUGCCGGAAGGUUAAUUGAUGGGGUUAGCGGUAACGCGAAGCUCUUGAUCGAAGCCCCGGUAAACGGCGGCCGUAACUAUAACGGUCCUAAGGUAGCGAAAUUCCUUGUCGGGUAAGUUCCGACCUGCACGAAUGGCGUAAUGAUGGCCAGGCUGUCUCCACCCGAGACUCAGUGAAAUUGAACUCGCUGUGAAGAUGCAGUGUACCCGCGGCAAGACGGAAAGACCCCGUGAACCUUUACUAUAGCUUGACACUGAACAUUGAGCCUUGAUGUGUAGGAUAGGUGGGAGGCUUUGAAGUGUGGACGCCAGUCUGCAUGGAGCCGACCUUGAAAUACCACCCUUUAAUGUUUGAUGUUCUAACGUUGGCCCCUGAUCGGGGUUGCGGACAGUGUCUGGUGGGUAGUUUGACUGGGGCGGUCUCCUCCUAAAGAGUAACGGAGGAGCACGAAGGUUGGCUAAUCCUGGUCGGACAUCAGGAGGUUAGUGCAAUGGCAUAAGCCAGCUUGACUGCGAGCGUGACGGCGCGAGCAGGUGCGAAAGCAGGUCAUAGUGAUCCGGUGGUUCUGAAUGGAAGGGCCAUCGCUCAACGGAUAAAAGGUACUCCGGGGAUAACAGGCUGAUACCGCCCAAGAGUUCAUAUCGACGGCGGUGUUUGGCACCUCGAUGUCGGCUCAUCACAUCCUGGGGCUGAAGUAGGUCCCAAGGGUAUGGCUGUUCGCCAUUUAAAGUGGUACGCGAGCUGGGUUUAGAACGUCGUGAGACAGUUCGGUCCCUAUCUGCCGUGGGCGCUGGAGAACUGAGGGGGGCUGCUCCUAGUACGAGAGGACCGGAGUGGACGCAUCACUGGUGUUCGGGUUGUCAUGCCAAUGGCACUGCCCGGUAGCUAAAUGCGGAAGAGAUAAGUGCUGAAAGCAUCUAAGCACGAAACUUGCCCCGAGAUGAGUUCUCCCUGACUCCUUGAGAGUCCUGAAGGAACGUUGAAGACGACGACGUUGAUAGGCCGGGUGUGUAAGCGCAGCGAUGCGUUGAGCUAACCGGUACUAAUGAACCGUGAGGCUUAACCUUACAACGCCGAAG
rnacentral:rRNA from 1 species